UACAGAGGGUGCGAGCGUUAAUCGGAAUUACUGGGCGUAAAGCGUGCGUAGACGGUUAUGUAAGUCAGGUGUGAAAGCCCCGGGCUCAACCUGGGAAUUGCAUUUGAGACUGCAUAGCUAGGGUGCGGAAGAGGGAAGCGGAAUUUCCGGUGUAGCGGUGAAAUGCGUAGAUAUCGGAAGGAACAUCAGUGGCGAAAGCGGCUUCCUGGUCCAGCACCGACGUUCAGGCACGAAAGCGUGGGGAGCAAACAGG
rnacentral:rRNA from 1 species